CCAGAUUACAAGUCCACCGCUCUUAAGCACUACACCAUGCUGGCUCCCAUGGUGAUGUCAGGAAAGAGCCAGAAUGCGCUGUUUCGUCAGUAGCAGGGGAGGGUUCUGAGCAGGAACUGUCAGAAGAGAAAGACAGGGAAAUGACGCAUUAAACAGAGCAGGGGGCAGAGAGUAGUCAGGCGGAGCCAGGGAUCAGAGAUGGUGAAGAGCCCUAUAACCCACCAGAGCCAGGAGGAGGAAGUUCAGACUCAGAAAGGGGGGAGCAUUCACAUCAGCACAGGCAAGGAGGGAAAUGAAACGUAAAGAUCAAAGACGUCUCGCGAGGUUUCCACACCUACUUUGUUGGAGCCAGAAAAAAGAAGCCACUCCCCGAAUCUGACUCGACAGGUUCGGAUGCAUGAUUUUGAACUGUUGCUGUUCUUUUGUAUAUAUGUAAUAAAGACUGUAAAUAUCACGCUGAGUGUGCUGAAGUGUUACUGUGAAGAGGGAACACCACCUUGACAUAGCGGCUAACAAUCUCCUUCCCUUCCUCCCCCACAACAAACACUCUGUGAGGUGAGCGAGGCUGAGAGACUUCAGAGAAGUGCGACUAGCCCAAGGUCACCCAGUAGCUGCACGUGGAGGAGCGGGGAAUCGAACCCGGUUCACCAGAUUACGAGUCUACCGCUCCUAACCACUACACCACACUGGCUCCCAAAACCAGCACCAUCAUUGCUGCACCGUACUUGGCUUGGAGGGCAACAACAUCAGCCUUCAUAGGCAAUUCUUAACAGUGACAUUCAACUAAGUCACCUUGGAGAAGACACAUUGAAAUCAAUGGGCCUACUCUGAGCAUUACUAUAUUGGCUAUGAGACAGAUUAUGAAUAACAACAGAAAUAGUUACUGAUCACCAAAUAGGCCAUAAUUAAGGGCGAUUUGUGGGUGGGGAAAAAUACAAUUUAGUAUUUUAUUGUGAUAAUUCUGCAUUUUAACUUGCCCUCCCCACCAUGGUGCCCUCUAGAUUUUUGGAACAAUAACUCCCACCAGCCCCAGCCGGCAUGGCCAAUGAACAGGCAUGAUAGGAGCUAUAGUACAUCAACAUACGUUGAUGACCUUUCAUGUUGGAGAAAGCUGGUUUAGACAAUGUGGUUUGGGCAUCCUCUGCUGUCAACAAGCCAUAGUUAAGCACAACCAAUAUGUUGUGGAUUUUGCAUUCAUAACCAGCUUCUUUGUCAGAUAGAUUACCCCUUAUGGAUGGAUAGCUUUUUCCUCACUCCCCUGCCCAAUGAAGAAACUGGCUUCCUUUCCAUAUUACAAACAUACCUUCUGAGCUAAGUAUCUGGCCAAAUGUCACUGGCUAUAUCACCAAGACGCUCGUGACUGUUUAAGUUGCGCCAGCGAACGGUCAUGACUUUCAGUUCACAGUUUAUUCAUUAAGUUCCAAUCCCUUGAAAACACUGACACCAUUAAGGAGGUGCCACAUAGAAGUCACGUCUAAAAGAAUUUGUGCUCUGACCCUUCAUCUCAGCUCACCACAGGCAAACAGUCAGAGAGAGAGCUGGCUUGGCGUUCUGGAAUGAUGUUUGUUUUUUGCCCGUGAGGUCUCCUCCGUUGUUUUCGUUCAGCCAUUUUUCAUCCCACCCUUUCAAAGACUGAUCUUUUUCUACCUGGGUGUGCUUCAUAUAUUUACACUCCUAUAGAUCUUUCCUCUCUGUUGCGGUCGUAAUUCCUUUUCCCAAGCAGAAAUGUAUUAGCGGUCGGGGAGUAGAAUUGCCAGAUUCUAGAGUAAGACAAAGACUUUGGCUUCCAACUCUGACUGUUUCUUUUAUCCCUGCCCUCCUUUCCUGCAAAGUUUUCAUGAAUAAAAGAACCAUAUGUGAUUUAUUCCAUAAUGUGUAAACCAGCUGUUUUGGAGUAGCUGUCUUCAUUGCAAUAGCCUUACUCCAGGAGUAAGUGUUUUGAGGGCUGUGGUUGUGGUCUGAAACAUGAUACCAUAUCAUGGAGCAGGGCGGGAGGGAGGAUAGAAAAACCAGAGCGGAAAGACAAAAACAAGCACAUGCUUAUUCUCUUAAAACCAUAUAUGUAUGACUUCUGCAAGGAAAGAAAAAAAGAACUUUCUGUAGUGGUUGAAUUAGCCUCAACCUCAUUUUUAAGUCAAUAAAAUUGCAAUUGAAGCUGUCUUUGAAAUGAAACUCUUUUUAGAUUUAAGCUCCACAAAGUGGGGGGAUGGAAGGAAAGGAAGUGGUUUCCAAAUUUUGCAAAGAGUUCAUCUUAUGCUUAUGCAUAACUCUGCACAUAUGAGAUUGUGGUUUAUCCAAGCUGUGUGAUUAUUAAGGGAAUGGCUUGAAGAAGGGUUUUUGUUUUUUUUAAUGCUUACUUUUUUCUGACUUUUUUUCUUUUCUUCUAGUGCCUGUUUGUUUCAGCCAAGAAGCGGCGCUGAGGGAAUGACAGAGAGAACUGUGUGAGAGCCUGUUCUCACGGUCCUUUCAAGCUGGCAGGAAGAACCGACCGCUGUAAAUAUCAUAAGAACAUCUGAUCUUACAACUUUCCAGCUCAAUUUCCAAACCAAAGUGGUUUGGUAAAGAAUACGGACUUUUGGAUGGUAGUUAUGGUUGAACAGCAUCCGAACCUUUAGAGGCUUAAGAGUUUUGACAUCGGUUGGAGGAAUUGAUGGCAUCUCAGUGAGGUUUAUUCGUCUUCAGCCUUCUUUUUUUGCCAGUCUUGGAAGGUGGCAUCAGACAGCCAGAUCAGUUUGGACCAGCACCGUUUUAGGAAGAUGAGAUGCCAACAGUUGUAAACAGAGUCAUCAUGGAAGUACAGCAUUUAUUUAGGGGCAGGGACCAAAAACCCAACAACCUAUCUUUGCAAGUUUAAACAUUGCUUUCCCUCUUGUUCAAGCAAACACAAGAAAUAAACUUGUUCCUUCUUCUGUCCCCC
rnacentral:lncRNA from 1 species